CGGGAACGAUCCUUGCCGAUGGCGUGCUUCUGCACACAUACCGAAGGUAUAACGAUAAAGACGUUUGAUGGCCGUCCGCCUUUUCGAGUAUUAGAUUGAUAAUGAUUUCUUCGAGGAGUCAGAUAGUGUUAAUAGAUACCAAUUACAGGCCAAUUGACGCACCUGCAGAUACUGUUAUCUAUCGGUGGAUGAUGCACGAAAAUCGAUAACAAACACCUGGUUGAGGAACACCGAAGAAACGGCGCUGAGCGUGGCUAAUAUCGUGCGUAUCCAUCCUCAUCAUCGUCUAAACCGUGCAAAACGUGCGGCAUUGUACGUGACAAAAGGCCUCAUAGGACCUUCGGCCUAUACAAACGAGCAGAUGUCCUCCGACAACGCAAAUUGUCUUCGUCCUAGUUCACCGUGCGACACGCUGAGAACUUAGCU
rnacentral:misc_RNA from 1 species